rnacentral:rRNA from 2 species
CUUAACAUGCAGUCGAACGGCAGCACGGGGGCAACCCUGGUGGCGAGUGGCGAACGGGUGAGUAAUACAUCGGAACGUGUCCUGUAGUGGGGGAUAGCCCGGCGAAAGCCGGAUUAAUACCGCAUACGCUCUACGGAGGAAAGGGGGGGAUCUUAGGACCUCUCGCUACAGGGGCGGCCGAUGGCAGAUUAGCUAGUUGGUGGGGUAAAGGCCUACCAAGGCGACGAUCUGUAGCUGGUCUGAGAGGACGACCAGCCACACUGGGACUGAGACACGGCCCAGACUCCUACGGGAGGCAGCAGUGGGGAAUUUUGGACAAUGGGGGCAACCCUGAUCCAGCAAUGCCGCGUGUGUGAAGAAGGCCUUCGGGUUGUAAAGCACUUUUGUCCGGAAAGAAAACCGCCGCCCUAAUAUGGUGGUGGGAUGACGGUACCGGAAGAAUAAGCACCG